UAAUACGGGGGGUGCAAGCGUUGUCCGGAAUCACUGGGCGUAAAGGGUGGGUAGGCGGACCGGUAAGUCCGGAGUGCAAUCUGUCUGCUUAACGGACAAUCCGCUUUGGAUACUGUCGGUCUUGAGUCACACAGAGGAAGGUGGAAUUCCUGGUGUAGCGGUGAAAUGUGUAGAUAUCAGGAAGAACACCGGUAGCGAAGGCGGCCUUCUGGGUGUCGACUGACGCUGAGCCACGAAAGUGUGGGGAGCAAACAGGAUUAGAUACCCUGGUAGUCCACACUGUAAACGAUGAACACUAGGUGUUGGAGGGUUUAGACCCUUCAGUGCCGCAGCUAACGCAUUAAGUGUUCCGCCUGGGGAGUACGAUCGCAAGGUUGAAACUUAAAGGAAUUGACGG
rnacentral:rRNA from 1 species